CUGGCCAAUGUUCCCAGCUGAGCACCCCUUCCACUGAUUUUCCUCCUGCUGAACAGCCUGUUAGCAGCUUUGGUGAGUGAAGUCUGCUGAGAAGUCCAGCUGGGUUAGUUUUCUGAAAGAUUAGCAAACUGUGUCAGCCUGUGGAGGGGUCUAGUGAGAAUCAGAGCCAGAAAACUGAAGGAAAUAGGAAGAUGUUGAAGAGUUAUGAUCCAACACACCUUUGUGCUACACCCAGCAUGGAUGUAUGUUUUCAGAGACAUGAAGACUGAUCAAUAUCUGCAAAUGACAUGGGAUCUCUGGACAAGACCAAGAAACAGGACAAACUGAGUCUAAUUCUUGAUGAUACUCUGGUUACAGGUUCUCUUUUCACAGUAGGAGUGUAAUGGAUAUAAUAAGUUUAAUGAUAUUUUUUUUUAAAAAAUAGUACCUAUCACUGCAUUUUGUCCUUUAAUCAUAACAGACCCAAAUAAAGAUGAACAUUCCUAACCA
rnacentral:lncRNA from 1 species